rnacentral:rRNA from 1 species
GUAGGGGGCGAGCGUUGUCCGGAAUUACUGGGCGUAAAGGGCGCGUAGGCGGUUAUUUAAGUCAGAGGUGAAAUCUCCCGGCUUAACCGGGAAACUGUCUUUGAUACUGUUAUCCUUGAGUCUAGUUGAGGUGGGCGGAAUGUGUAAUGUAGCGGUGAAAUGCAUAGAUAUUACACAGAACACCGAUUGCGAAGGCAGCUUACUAAACUACAACUGACGCUGAGGCACGAAAGCGUGGGUAGCGAACAGGAUUAGAUACCCUGGUAGUCCACGCCGUAAACGAUGAAUACUCGAUGUGUGUGACAUAUUGCACGCGUCUGAGCGAAAGCAUUAAGUAUUCCACCUGGGGAGUACGGCCGCAAGGUUG